AACCAAUUAGAGGGAAUUAAACACUAUAACCACUCGCCUCAGACCCGGAAUCCACGUUUCUCAGGAAGACGCCAGUAUUAACCUCCCGGGGAUAAGAACACACAGGCGCCUGUUAAACAUUGCGACUUCUUGGAAAGAGGCGCUUCUCCUACAUAUACUGAACAGAAAAAUGAGACCUAACCCACAGACAGACGGACCCCGCUUAGGGGUAAAGAUUCAGGACCGUGGGAAACAAUUAAAAAAGUUUGGAAAUAUUGGAGAGAUCGACUAUUCAUUGCAACCACUUUAUUUAACAUGAAGAUAACCAAGGCACAGGAGAACAACUUUUAAUUUUUAAUUGACUGAUUAAUUUCCUCCAACCAGAACAUGCAUUCACUCUUUCCUAUAUUCACAACUUCCGCCAACCACACACACAGCGGGCCUGCGUUGACCGGAAGUGAGGAAAUUGAUGCACUUCCGUCAACCAGGGAGAGGCUUCCGCCAACCAGGAGGACCAGGAUGCAACGUGCAGGAACUGAUGCACUUCCGCCAACCAAGAGGAACAGGAAGCAACAAUUACCAGAAGUCCCGUGGCCGUGCACUUCCGGUAAAUAGGGGCGCGGCCUUUUUGAAAGUUUAAAAGGAUUUUCAUCACUCUACCAGUCAUCUAGCCUUGACAAAGGACCCAAGGAGGUCCAAAAAGCAUUGGUGCUUGACUGCUGUGGACCACCAGUGAUUAUCCGGGUAUAAGACUUGGAGCCUAGCGGUGUGUAUUCCGGACAACACACUGCUUUAACACCGAUGGCUCCAUAUUCCGCACUCUGGUAAGACUACUUCUGGUUCCCUUUGACAAUCACUGCACCAUUUGUGGUGUUACAAAGAAGUCGCAUACAUUUUUUACAAGCUGACUAUAUGCUACCUUUUUUAUUGUGAUCUACAUAAUUUUUAUCCACCGGAUGCACAACAUCUACUUUUUAUCUGUUUGUCCAAUAAAACCUUGUGUACAUUUUAAA